rnacentral:rRNA from 1 species
GGAGGGGGCUAGCGUUGUUCGGAAUUAUUGGGCGUAAAGGGCGCGUAGGCGGCUUUGCAAGUCGGAGGUGAAAUCCCUCGGCUCAACCGAGGAACUGCCUCCGAAACUGCAGAGCUUGAGUCCCGGAGAGGAUAGCGGAAUUCCCAGUGUAGCGGUGAAAUGCGUAGAUAUUGGGAGGAACACCAGUGGCGAAGGCGGCUAUCUGGACGGGUACUGACGCUGAGGCGCGAAAGCGUGGGGAGCAAACAGGGAUUAGAUACCCUGGUAGUCCACGCUGUAAACGAUGGGCACUUGGUGUUGCGGGUAUGACCCCCCUGCAGUGCCGAAGCUAACGCAUUAAGUGCCCCCGCCUGGGGAUACGGUCGCAAGGCUG